rnacentral:rRNA from 1 species
GGUUGCGAUCAUACCAGCACUAAUGCACCGGAUCCCAUCAGAACUCCGCAGUUAAGCGUGCUUGGGCGAGAGUAGUACUAGGAUGUGUGACCCCCUGGGAAGUCCUCGUGUUGCAACCC